GCCUGGCUGGCUCAGUCGGUUGAGCGUCCAACUCUGGAUUUCGGCUCAGGUCAUGAUCUCACAGUUUCGUGGGUUCGAGUCUCACGUUGGGCU
rnacentral:tRNA from 1 species